rnacentral:rRNA from 1 species
GGAUAACCUGCCCUAUUGUCUGGAAUAACCUCGGGAAACUGAGAACAAGGCCGGAUAACCCACAAUGCCUGGAACGGUUUGUGGGUGAAGAUAGGAUGGGUCUGCGGCGUAUCAGGUCGUAGGGGGUGUAAUGGACCUCCUAGCCAUCGACGCGUACGGGUGUUGGGAGACAUAGCCCGGAGAUGGAUUCCGAGACACGAAUCCAGGCCCUACGGGGUGCAGCAGGCGCGAAAACUUCACACUGCAGGAAACUGUGAUGAGGGAACUCCAAGUGCAUCCACUAUGUGGAUGCUUUUUUUGACUAUUAAUCGGUCAACGAAUAAGGGCUGGGAAAGACCGGUGCCAGCCGCCGCGGUAAUACCGGCAGCUCAAGUGGUCGUCGCUUUUAUUGGGCCUAAAACGUCCGUAGCCUGUUUGGUAAAUCUGUGGGUAAAUCAACCAGCUUAACUGGUUGAAUUCUGCAGAGACUGCCAGACUAGGGACCGGGAGAGGUGUGGGGUACUCUAGGGGUAGGGGUAAAAUCCUGUCAUCCUUAGAGGACCACCAGUUGCGAAGGCGCCACACUGGAACGGAUCCGACGGUCAGGGACGAAGCCUAGGGGCACGAACCGGAUUAGAUACCCGGGUAGUCCUAGGUGUAAACGCUGUGAACUUGGUGUCGGGGAUCCGCAAUGGGUCCUCGGUGCCGGAGUGAAGAUGUUAAGUUCACUGCCUGGGGAGUACGGUCGCAAGGCUGAAACUU